ensembl:lncRNA
AGAAUGUUUUUACUUAUUUUAUUGUUUUUUGUAGAUGUUUCAAAGCAUCUUAAAACUGUGCAGCGAUAUCAUGAUGAAGUUAAAAAGAGAGAGAGAGAAAUGCCAGCACAGUAAUCGGAAACACAAUGACCCACUCAACGUCUCUGAGAGAACACUGACUAAAAGCAUGAGGUCUCUGCGAAGCACCAAAUUUUUGUCAAGUUGUUUUGCCUUCUGUCCUUAAAUGUUGUUUGAUUUUUAAUGAAUUUGAUACAAUGAGAUUUUUCAGUCCUCACUGGAGGAAGCUCCUGGGUUUUAAUCUAGUUUGAGGCCUUUCUGUGUGGAUUUUGCAUGUUCUCCCUGUGUCUGCGUGGGUGCUCUCUGUCUACUCCAGCUUCUUCCUACCUUAUCACAGUUCAUUUAAUCAUUUCGGGGGGGGGGUUCCAGAAGUUGUUUGUAUUUUAAUUUUAGUUAACCAAAAUAUUCACAUCUAGUUUUAGUUUUAGUUAACUGUAAUAUUGUUAGCAACCUGCCCAGGGUGUACUCUGCCACUUGCCUGACAGCUGGGAAAGGCUCCAGCAACCUGGACUUGGAUAAGUGGAAGUAAAAUGGAUGUAGAUGUUUAAAUAUGAAUUCCUCCCAGGGGUGUCACCAGACUCUAAACCAAAAGGCCAGCAGUGUAUUCAAAUCCUCUUUUUUUCCUUCUUGGUUUUGUUAAUUAUUUGUAGACCCGAGUUAAACAGAAAAUUAGAAAGAGAAAUACAGAGGUAGAAGAUCUACAAUGUUGUUGUUUUUAAUUUUAGGGGUCUAAACAUUGAUAUCCAGAACUUUUUCUUUAAAUUUUAAUGAUUCUAUUGAUCUGCGACGGACUGGGGACCUGUCCAGGGUGUACCAUCGCCUCUCGCCCUAUGACAGCUGGGAUAGGCUGCAGCACCCCCCGCAACCCUGAAAAGGAUAAGCGGAAGAAAAUGGAUGGAUGGAUGGAUUCUAUUGAUGUUUUCUUUUACAUAUUUUGAUGUCUUAUAGUAAAUUUUAAUAUUUUAAUUACACGUGUUUAACCUUCAAUCAUUUAUUUUAGGGAUAUAUUUGUCAAUUUUAUUCUUGAACCUUAUACAGUGGAACCCCGACUUACGAAAUUAAUUUGUUCCCGAGGGUCUUUCGUAAGUCGAAGAUUUUGGUAUGUCGAAGCACCCAUUGCGCCUUUUAAAUGAACAAUAGCUAUAGGCUAGUUGGUAACUGCAACAACAAUACGUCAUUCAAGUGGAACAGCGAGACGCAACUACGAAAGCCAAGGGGUUGUCACAUGAUUCGGAAGGCAUUGUGGGCUUUGUAGGCUCAGCCAAUCAGAGCCAGCGGAUUUCGUUAUACGGGCAUUUUGCCGUAACACGGGCAGAAAUAUUGCCGUUCAGUGCCUUCCUGACUUGAAUUUUUCGUUAAAUGGGGUAUUCAUAAGUCGGGGUUCCACUGUAUAGCACAUCACUUAUGUAUACCAUUUUACUUACAUUUCUAACAUAAAUGUAAUUUACUGCAAUAAAAUUAUUUCAAUAAAAUCAUUUCUUUGGUUGUCAUAUGAUUAAUAAAGCAGCAGCAAACAACAAACCUUGUUCUUGUCUAUUUCUGACCCUAAAACUAACUAGCCUGGCAAAAAGUAUUUUGCAGCAGCACAGUAGUUUGUAACAUACAACAAUACUAUCUAUGAACUGUGAAGAUUGAACCACAAACCAUUUAUCAACAGGAUGUCAAAUGAUUGUUGAUGUCAUUGAUCAAGCUUCCUCUGACGCGUUCUUGCCUGGGUGACA